AGGGGUGGUGGGUUUCAGGGUGUGUUGCCUAAAAUCAUGUCACUCGGUAGAAUAGGAUGGAGAGAGGCUUUCUAAAGAUUGAUUCAUGAUUGUAUGACUGCCAGGUCCUUUACCCCCCACUCUUCAUUAAGGACUGAAUUUGCCUGUGGUUUUAAUGCUGUUGAAAAAAAAAAUCCAUUCCAAUAUUGCCAAAAACAAUCAACUUUGUUCUGUAAUAAUAUAACUUACAAAUCAUAAUUAGAUACCAGAAAACAUACAAGUAUAUAUUGUCAUUAUUGCCUCACCAUAAUUCAUUUUAUUGAUGAUGUUUCUGCCAUUCAUCAUGUUAACACAUUGUGUUGCCAUAGAUUGUUCGAUGAAGGAGCACUGAUGAAGGACUGAGUUACUCUUUUGUUCCUGAGGGAGGCGCUCUAUGUUGAUGUUUCAGAUCUUCAAAUUCAGGAGGUUACAGCAGAUCUAUCACUCUUGCCUGACUGUGUUUGCUGUCUGUCGAGGUCGAAGAGACACAACUACACAAAUAGCUGCCUGUCUGGGAGAAAGGACGAAACAAUGAUAUUUCUCUGUGCUAUGAUGAUUUUGUUCCUGUUUAUAGAUGACACCACAGCAAAUGUCAUAACACCUCUUGGCUCAGCCAAGAAUGUUAUGAAGUGUGAGAGUGUCAUAUUCACCUGUAAGUACAACUACAGUGGAUCUAUAAGUGCACUACAGUGGUAUCGUCAGUAUCCCAGAUCUAAACCUGAGUUCCUCCUAUUCAUAACGGAAUCUAACGGCACUGGAGAAGUUCCCUCACGCAUGUCUUCUCACACCACCAAAGACACCAAGCAUGUGUUCCUGGAGAUCUCCUCUGUUGAAGUCUCUGACUCGGGUCUCUACUACUGCGCCCUGCAGCCCACAGUAACAGGAAAUGCACAGGUGCUGUACAAAAACCUGGUGUCUUUUUAAAGCAAUUCUCAUACCAAUUAUAAUUCCUUUCACUAUCAUAUUUCAUUUAACUUUAAUUUUCAUUUUGUUUCAUUUUUAUUUAUUUUGUUGAAAAAUGUCAUCUUCAAAAAUCAGAGGAAGUUACAAGACGCAGUCUCAUAACACAAUUCCAAUUGCCCACCUAGCUGAUCAAUCCGAGCACACUGGACUCAUCGGGAAGGGGGGAAUCUGAAGGCUGACUAUCCAAAUAAAGUGUUAAUGGAUUACUGUAAGUCAAUAAAAAGUAAUUUCUUACCCAUAGUUGAUAUUUUACAGUGA